ensembl:lncRNA
AUCAGGGCCCCUCAGUUGAUUUCAGCCUACAAGAAUAUUGACAGGUCAAGUAAUAAACACAGAAACCACGUACUCCAUAUUCUAUUGCUUAUAUAAUGACUGUUUCCCAUGUUCUUUUGACCAUUCACACUAGCACUGCUGCAUCACCUUCAUUCCUUCAAACUGAUGUUAAAUAAAGUGGAUGAUGAGAGGCAGAAUGAGAAAGUGAGAGAAAGAAGAAUCAAUUCAGUUAAUUAAUGGAUGACAAAUUAAAGCUCUGCAGGAAGAGACAUGGACCUGGGCAAGAGAAGACACUAGCAAAACCUCCUGGAGCUGUUGUUGGUUUGCUGGGAGAGAUGAGCACAGGUGACAGAGAGGAGCCUCCAAAGAUGAUGUACCCCCUAAAGUUUCAUGAAGACAGUUGUGCUGUGUUAAAGAAAGUCUUACCAUUCCAGCCUGUGACUGAAUACCCAAGUAUGAUUUCAAUCCCAGAGAAGAAGCCAGAUAUUACAGACAGAUGUUAAGGAGUGGCCACCCACAGAAGUAUUUUUUCUUCUUCUAUCCUUAAUUUUCAUUCACAUGUCCUUCUUAUCUAGAUUUUGAGUCCCAUGAGACACCUGACUGUUGUUUUAUCUUUAGACCACAGCAUUGCUGGGAACCUCAGUCUGCCCAGAUCUUCCCUGUGAUGAAUCUCAUAACCAAACUAUGUUCACCUCACCCAAGAAGUAAGAGUAAAAUUUCACUAAAAAAUAACAUUAUUUAUAGAAAACACAGCACAAGAAACAAACACACCAAAACCUUGGGGUGACAAACAGAAUUUUAAGUAUUCAUGAGUGAGACUGUAUCCCAAAUUCAUUUCACAGAUGUGGCAAUUGUGUCCAAAUAAUUUAGCACACCUUGAAAGCCUGGUGACCUGCCUGCUCCAUGACUUCAUCCACAGUGCUCAGUGUUGUGCUAUUGUAAAAACUGUGUGAAAAUCAAAAUGAUAAGUCUGUCCCUACAAGAAUUAAACAGCCAUCCUUGGAGGUAAUUGAAGAGCUGGUGUGGGCAUUCUGCAUAGCCUUCACAGAUCUAGGAAAUGGGUUAGUGCUAUAGUGUUGUAAGGAUGAUUUUGAAAAACAAAACAGAUUAAUUGAAAGAUAAGGAAGUGAUAGAUUAAGAAGAGAAAUUCACCCUUAUAAUAAUUUUAUUAUUUUCCUGUUCAUUAGGUACAAAUUUGAACACUGACUAAUAAAUCAUACUGCUGUUAAGCCA